rnacentral:misc_RNA from 1 species
UCGCGGCUUAUCACCGGCAGUCUCCUUAGAGUGCUCAACUAAAUGGUAGCAACUAAGGACGGGGGUUGCGCUCGUUGCGGGACUUAACCCCACAUCUCACGACACGAGCUGACGACAGCCAUGCAGCACCUGUGUACCGGCCUAUUGCUAGGGGGAAUCCAUCUCUGGAAACCGUCCGGCCAUGUCAAGAGCUGGUAAGGUUCUUCGCG